CACGAGGCUGCUGAUCUCCUCGAAGGUGCCGUUGGAAUAUUUGCGGCUGUUGGCAACGAUGGUCCUGGGAGCAGGGACAGGGAGAGCCAGCAGGAGGUACCUACAUGGUUCUGAAGUUCUCCUUUCCCAGGAUCUUGUACUCCUGGCAGACUUUCUCCCGGACAUAAGCUUUCCCUGAAAGUGCAGGAGAAGGAGGAAUUGAGGAUUUGGUGGUCCCUGGGGAGAUGUUGGCACAGCCGGUCUGGGAGAAGCAUCCCUGCUAUCCAGGCUGCUGCUCCAGCCCCGCAGCCAGGGAAAGGAGCAGGGAGAAAACCCUCCCUGGAGCUGGGAGAGCUACAGGUGGGGAUUCCCUGUGGAGCUGAGGAAGCAGCUAAGGGCGGCAGAGCAUUGUUCCCACCAGGGGGGCCAGCAAAGCCCCAGGAUCAUCUCCCUUACCUCGGUGUAACGCCUGUGCAGCGGCCAGGAGCGGCAGCAGCGCCAGAGCCACCCUCAUGAUGGAGCUGGCUCUCCUCCUCCUGCCGGGAAUCCCAUCCCCGAGUUUUUA